rnacentral:rRNA from 1 species
UAAACAUCGACAGUAAACUACACCCACUGUCCGCCCGGGGACUAUGAGCACCAGCUUAAAACCCAAAGGACUUGGCGGUGCUUCAAACCCACCUAGAGGAGCCUGUCCUAGAACCGAUAAUCCCCGUUAAACCUCACCCUUCCUUGUUCUUUUCAGCCUAUAUACCACCGUCGCCAGCUUACCCUGUGAAGGCCUAGUAGUAAGCGGAAUCGGCACAGCCCAAAAUGUCAGGUCGAGGUGUAGCCUAUGGAAGGGGAAGAGAUGGGCUACAUUCACUGGUACAGUGAAUACGGAUGAUCACCCUGAAACGGGUAUCUGAAGGAGGAUUUAGCAGUAAGCAAAAAAUAGAGUGUUUUGCUGAAGUCGGC